GACAGCUUGAGCUCUGGAGGUCCAGACUAGCCUGGGCAACAUUGGCAAAACCCCAUUUCCACAAAAUAUACAAAACUUAGCCGGGCUUGGUGCUUUGUGCCUGUAGUCCCAGCUACUCAGGAGACUGAGGUAGGAGUGAGGCAGGAGAAUAGGCUCUGGAGGAGGGAACCUAUGGCUGUUUCAUGCCCAACUAAAUUGAAAGGAAAAUCCUAACUUUCGACGCCUAAGUAACAAAAGGACCAGAGGCUACUCAGGCUACUCCCUUUGCAAACUCCCAACCUUUUCUGCGUGGUAGAUGGGAAAUUGGCUGUCCGCAACCAAUCAGACUGAUUGUGGGUGGAGUCCUCCUUUGCAACUUUGUAACUUUACCUUAGCCUCUGAUUGGCUGCAAAAUGCAACCAAUUAGAUGUUGCACAAGAGUGUAACAUUUGUAACUCCACUUCAGCCUCUGAUUGAUGUUGAAAGCAACCAACUGCAGGCCACCACGUCGUUUCCAUGAGGUGAGCAUGAAGUGGCCAAUGGCAAACCUCUAGCCGGAGGUUUCUGGACAGGAGAAGAUUCUACAUGCAGGCCCUUGAGGCGCUGCCUCCCAAAGUGCUGGGAUUACAGGCGUGAGCCACCGCGCCUGGCCUAAUUUUUAUAUAUAAUGUAAGGAUGAAUGUUUAAAUAAACAAAUCUGUCUUCAAGCUGCAUUUGUUAAAACAGCAGAUGGAGAUUUAACUGAGCUGAGGAGGAACAGAGCUCUUUAUCUCCGCCUUCUUCCUGAUCCAGGAGAGAAUCAGCUCUGAUAAGACACAUUUACAAUGGAUUCUCUCUGAAGCCUGCUAUCUGGAGGCUCCCUAAGUAUAAUGAGAACCCUGGUCUCCACAACCCCUUUUCUUUCUUUGUUGUUUUGUUUUUAUUUUUUUUUUUGAGACAGAGUCUCGCUCUGUUGCCCAGGAUGGAGUGCAGUGUACUAAUGUAUGACUUUGCCUGUGACUUCUGCUUCCCUAAAAUGCAUAAGACAGAGUCGUGCCCUAACUGCCUCAGGACCACUUAUCAAGGCUUCCUGGGUUUGUGUUUUCCCCAGGCCACGGUCAAUCAUACUGGCUCCGCAUAAACCUCCUUAAGAUAUUUUACAGUUUGGGUUUUCCAUUAACACCUUCACAGCAUACACUUGAGUUUUUAAGGUUGAGCAGGUCCAGCAGGUUUCCCCCAGGUGGAUUCUGACUGAACAGUUUAUGAGUGAUUUCUCCAUACCUGUUAUUCAAUCCAAGCUUUCGUGGGUAAGUGCUUUCUUACCUGCCUGUGCCCCUCAAUCAGAGCAUAAUGUUAUAGAACAUCAGAGUUAGAAGGUACUCAGAACCAAGAAAAAUUUAACCCAAAAAAGAUCUAGAAUAAAAUGCAGCUUUUGCUUCACCCUUAAAAGAGUGGGAAAUUUGACUAUAUAAAAGUCAC
rnacentral:lncRNA from 10 species